GACGAACGCUGGCGGCGUGCUUAACACAUGCAAGUCGAACGGAAAGGCCCUGCUUUUGUGGGGUGCUCGAGUGGCGAACGGGUGAGUAACACGUGAGUAACCUGCCCUUGACUUUGGGAUAACUUCAGGAAACUGGGGCUAAUACCGGAUAGGAGCUCCUGCUGCAUGGUGGGGGUUGGAAAGUUUCGGCGGUUGGGGAUGGACUCGCGGCUUAUCAGCUUGUUGGUGGGGUAGUGGCUUACCAAGGCUUUGACGGGUAGCCGGCCUGAGAGGGUGACCGGCGACAUGAGGACUGAGGGAGGGACCAGAAUGCUACGGGAGGCAGCAGUGGGGAGUAUGGCAGAAUGGGCGGAAGCCAGAUGCAGCAACGCCGCGUGCGGGAUGACGGCUUUCGGGUUGUGAACCGCUUUCGCAUGUGACAAAGCGUGAGUGACGGUAAUGGGUAAAGAAGCACCGGCUAACUACGUG
rnacentral:rRNA from 1 species